rnacentral:lncRNA from 1 species
UAUAGCCUUGGGGGGUGGGGCUGGCCCACUUCGUCCGCCGGACUCGGAAUGGCGCGAGACUUUGCGAGGCCCCUCCGUGUGCCAAAAAUAGGCCACGGGCACAGCCGCGCCCAAAAAUAACCGCUCGAAGGCCGGGGCGCCAAGUUCGUCCUGCGGAAAAAGCCCACAAAAACGGGAGGGCUACAGCCUUGGGGGGUGGGGCUGGCCAACUUCGUCCGCCGGACUCGGAAUGGCACGAGACUUUGCGAGGCGCUUCCGUGUGCCAAAAAUAGGCCGCGGGCACAGCUGCGCCCAAAAAUAACCGCCCGAAGGCCGGGGCGCCAAGUUCGUCCAGCGGAAAAAGCCCACAAAAACGGGUGGGCUAUAGCCUUGGGGGGUGCGGCUGGCCAACUUCAUCCGCUGGACUCGGAAUCGCGCGAAACAUUGAGAGGCACCUCCGUGUACAAAAAAUAGGCCACGGGCACACCCGCGCCCAAAAAUAACCGCCUGAAGGCCGGGGCGCCAAGUUCGUCCAGCGGAAAAAGCCAACAAAAACGGGAGGGCUACAGCCUUGGGGGGUGGGGCUGGCCAACUUCGUCCGCCGGACUCGGAAUGGCGCGAGACUUUGCGAGGCGCCUCCGUGUGCCAAAAAUAGGCCGCGGGCACAGCCACGCCCAAAACUAAUCACCCGAAGGCCGGGGCGCCAAGUUCGUCCCGCGGAAAAAACCCACAAAAACGGGUGGGCUAUAGCCGUGGGGGGUGGGGCUGGCCAACUUCGUCCGCCGGACUCGGAAUGGCGCGAGACUUUGCGAGGCACCUCCGUGUGCCAAAAAUAGGCCACGGGAACAGCCGCGCCCAAAAAUAACCGCCCGAAGGUUGGGGCGCCAAGUUCG